rnacentral:rRNA from 1 species
ACACAGGUGCUGCAUGGCUGUCGUCAGCUCGUGUCGUGAGAUGUUGGGUUAAGUCCCGCAACGAGCGCAACCCUUGUCAUUAGUUGCUACAUUCAGUUGGGCUACUCUAAUGAGACUGCCGGUGACAAGCCGGAGGAAGGUGGGGAUGACGUCAAGUCCUCAUGGCCCUUAUAGGUGGGGCUACACACGUCAUACAAUGGCUGGUACAAAGGGUUGCCAACCCGCGAGGGGGAGCCAAUCCCAUAAAGCCAGUCGUAGUCCGGAUCGUAGUCUGCAACUCGACUACGUGAAGUCGGAAUCGCUAGUAAUCGUGGAUCAGAAUGUCACGGUGAAUACGUUCCCGGGUCUU